rnacentral:sRNA from 1 species
AUUGUUAACAAAUAUGUUUAUGCUAAUUUUAAGGGAUUGAUGUGAAGUUUGUUUGGAUUAAAUUUGAUUGAUAAUUUGAUUGAUAAUUU